GGCCUAUAAAGCUUUGUAAAUCCUGUCCCGGUAAAGCUCUGUGCGGCCUGAAGCUGGAACUCCGGAUGUCAAAGUCAACUGUACUGGAUGUUCACUGAUGCUAAAGGGAAUCGAUGAGUCAUCCUGCUGGACCUCUACCGCAGCUGACAUCCAUGUCUGAUGAAAAGAGCGACAAAACUAUUGUUGUGAGCCUCCUCAUAUACUUACAACUGACUCAGAAGGACAAUCAGAUAAUGCGUCUCUUCAUCUUUACAUCUUUAACAUUGGAAAAUCGAUUCUCUCCAUCAUCAUCAUCAUUAUCAUCCUCCUUCCCCUUUCUCCGCCAUCCAAGAUGACGAACCUGUUGACUCAUUCACCCCUUUGCUCAUUCACAACCAAUGCUUGACCAAGAGAAACGCGGACAGGUAUAGGAGAAACACAGAGCGUGAGUCAGACGAGCACUGCAGCGGUUCCUCCGAGAGCACUAAAACACACCCAUCCAAUCCAUCAGCCUUCAUUCAUCCUUCGCCUCAUCCUUCCAUUCACACAAUCAGAGCGGCGGAGAGGAGGAGGAGGAGGGAGUGAGAGAGGGAGAGAGACGCUGCGAU
ensembl:processed_transcript